rnacentral:rRNA from 1 species
AUGGAUCCCAAGGGUCUUGACAGCGAUAAGUCGGCGAGUAGGCUCUAUGUGGGCAAUCUGGAUUUUAGGAUAUCAGAGUCUGACGUUAUCAAGAUGUUCUCCCCCUAUGGAAAGAUCAUAGCUGAGGAUUUCCUGUUGCAUACGCGUGGCCCGAAGCGAGGCGAGCCUCGUGGUUAUGCCUUUGUUCAGUACACUACCAAAGAGGAAGCUCAGUUGGCAAAGGAGAAGAUGAAUGGCAAGUUGGUCUGUGGACGUCCUGUGGUGGUUCACCUAGCGAGCGAGAAGUGUUUCCUAGAUUCCGGUAAUUCACAAAGAGCACUGAAAGACAAGAAACUGGCAGGUGGUUCGGGAAGCAAAUUAGCACAAACUGAUCGUGCUGCAAAGAUAUCUGCGAUAAAAAACAAGUUGAAGUCUCUGGAGAAUGAUGGCUGUAGCACAAAAAGACCAAGACUUAACCCAGAUGACUUGAAAAGCACUGGAGAACAAUCUGAUAAGAAGCUUUGA